rnacentral:rRNA from 1 species
GUGUCAGCAGCCGCGGUAAAACGUAGGACGCGAGCGUUAUCCGGAUUUACUGGGCGUAAAGCGCAUGCAGGCGGCCUUGUAAGUCGGAUGUGAAAUCUCCCGGCUCAACUGGGAGGCGUCAUUCGAUACUGCAAGGCUUGAGGGCAGGAGAGGGGAGUGGAAUUCCCGGUGUAGUGGUGAAAUGCGUAGAUAUCGGGAGGAACACCAGUGGCGAAGGCGGCUCCCUGGCCUGUCCCUGACGCUGAGGAGCGAAAGCCAGGGGAGCAAACCGGAUUAGAUACCCGGGUAGUCCUGGCCGUAAACGAUGGGUACUAGGUGUGGGAGGUUCGACCCCUUCCGUGCCGAAGCUAACGCAUUAAGUACCCCGCCUGGGGAGUACGGCCGCAAGGUUGAAACUUAAAUGAAUUGGCGGGG